rnacentral:rRNA from 1 species
UACGUAGGUGGCAAGCGUUGUCCGGAUUUACUGGGCGUAAAGAGCGCGCAGGCGGUCGUUCAAGUCGCGUGUGAAAGCCCCCGGCUCAACUGGGGAGGGUCACGCGAUACUGAUCGACUCGAAGGCAGGAGAGGGUAGUGGAAUUCCCGGUGUAGUGGUGAAAUGCGUAGAUAUCUGGAGGAACACCGGUGGCGAAGGCGGCGUUCUGGACUGUCUCUGACACUGAAGAACGAAAGCCAGGGGAGCAAACGGG